GGGGAAUAUUGCACAAUGGGCGAAAGCCUGAUGCAGCAACUCCGCGUGAAGGAAGAAGGGUUUCGGCUCGUAAACUUCUAUCAACAGGGACGAAAAAAAUGACGGUACCUGAAUAAGAAGCCCCGGCUAACUACGUGCCAGCAGCCGCGGUAAUACGUAGGGGACAAGCGUUGUCCGGAUUUACUGGGCGUAAAGGGCACGCAGGCGGUUUUUUAAGUCAGAUGUGAAAGGUACCGGCUCAACCGGUAACAUGCAUUUGAAACUGAAAGACUUGAGUAUUGGAGAGGCAAGUGGAAUUCCUAGUGUAGCGGUGAAAUGCGUAGAUAUUAGGAGGAACACCGGUGGCGAAGGCGGCUUGCUGGACAAAUACUGACGCUGAGGUGCGAAAGCGUGGGGAGCAAACA
rnacentral:rRNA from 2 species